ACUAAUUCAGUACUUGUUAUGCACCAACUCGCAUUUACGUGGACGUAUUGAUUAAUCUUUUGAAAAACAAGCGAAUAAUUCAACAGAGCAUGAAGUUAGCACAAUUGCCAUUCAUUCAUAUCUUCGCAUUCGUCCUGAUGAUUGAACUAAUUGACAAUGUAGUCGAAGCCACAAAAAUUGUGAACUGUUAUAAUGUAUUAGAGCAGUAUACAAGUUAUGCGAGCUGUCGGAGGUGGUGCCAUAGGACUUGCAUACCUGCAUGUGGCUUUUAUGAAUGCUCAAAUGAUGCGAAUUGUUUUUGUGAUGUAGAACGUUACAGGGAAUGGAAAAGAUAUGGAUGAGUAGUAGUAGAAGGAGGAGGAGAUCGAUCAUUGGCGAGAAGAUGAGCUUCGGUUUGAAAUAUGCACAUGGUGUUUUGUUUAAUUCAAAAUAAAGUAUCGAUGAAAUUAAAAUAUCAAAACUUAUUCCUCAAAAUACUUUUCAAUGUACAUUAUUUACAUAAUAUGGUUUAAACUUGGAAUAAAAAUAUCUGACGUGAAAAA